CUUUUGUUCCCUUCAAGCUUUCUGUACAGCUCUGGAGGUGGAGAGUGAAAAUGGCAGCCUCCCAAUCUCCGCCUCGGAGGAGCCGAGAACUCGGGCCCCGCUCCUCAGUGCGCCCCCAGAGAAAAGCUGCCAGUCACUCCUGUCUCCCCGGUCUCUGGCCACACUCCGUGCUCACCCGGCCUGUGACGGCCUGUGACCGCGUGUUUCUCUCUCUGGCACCCGACCCUGGGUGGAGUCUCCAAACCCAGCAGAUCCCUGUGGUGCACUCCCGUGUGGCUCCUCCCGGGGGGAAAAAGGUCCUCCAGCCAUCCCCGUGGGAGGUCAUUUCAGCAGCUGGAUCCCUCACUUCUCGACACAAUCCACUCCUCAAACACCAUCCACUCCUCAAACACCCUGUAAGACAGAUGAUUCGUGGAAAUAGCGCCUCACGUGGCUAGAAGAAAACUCAGCUGGAUUAAGAAGAUGGAGAGGGACUGGUAAUGAUUCCUCGCCGCCCAAGUGCCGGAAGACUGAAGCCCCUGCAGCUGGCUCUGCCCUCAGUUCUGUGAGGAAUUGAGUGGAAUGAAGCAUGCUGGAGACACUCAGGGCGUCCCAUGAAUUGGAUGAGAGCAACGGAGACAUGGCUGAGGACUAAGAGGAGGCAGCAACACGGAGGCUGGGGCCACAGCCUGGAAGUGGCAAACGGGCAAAAUGCACUGGUUCCCGCACUCUGGGGCCCCUGGAGGCCCCCCACCCCUGCCAGCUCGCUUCUCACUCUCUGCACACUCCCUCCCUCCCCCUGAGAUGCUCUGUGCAGCCAGACUCUCAUCAAAGCUCUGCAUAUCUUUUCUCAUAGAUGACCUGCACUGGCCACGUCCAGAGAGUCAGUUAGACUCUGGGUUUCAAUUUCUGGGUUCUGGAAAAUGCCAGGAUCUACGAACCUGACCUUCAUUACACCAAGCAUGGGGGGACAUACCCAAAGAGUCACAAAUCGAGGCUGGAGCUGCUCCCAAAGGCUGGCAGCAGCCCCCUUGGCCAAUCGAGUGUUUGGGUUUGGCUAAGUCUCUAAGAUGAGAUUUCUUAUAAAUGUCUUUAGUUCCUGCCACAAUUCCAAGCUCACACCUGCCGAAGAUGCCUUUUUCUGUCUUGUUUUGUUUCACUUUGGGGCCGAAGGGUGUGAACAUGUGAACAAAAACCUCGGGGGGAAGGAGCAUUUUAGUGCUGGGAACCUCACAAAUUUGUUCCACUUUGAUCUGAUUUCUGUAAAACAGCCCCUCGUGUGGGGGUGGGGGGAGAAGACAAAAUGGAAAUCAUUUCCAACCUGCUUUGGACAUUUCUGUAACAUCAUUCAAGACAACCUCCGGGUGCGGACCAGGCCAAGGAGUGGGCGUGUGGGGACCCUAGCAGAGGGCGCCGUCCGUCUUAUUUUACUUGGAAACCUCAUUUAUUUAUUAAUGUAUUUGUGGGUAGGAGGCCAUCUGGCUGCUCUGAGAGGGGCCCCGUGUUUGCUGCACUGACCCCGCAGGCGCUGGGGGCCCCCUGGCAGGACAGCUGGUGGCAUGAAUUUGCUGAAGCUGGACCGAUUGGGAAGCAAGGAUGAUGGGGAGGCUGAACUUCCAAGGACAAAUAUGUUCAAGAGUGUGGAGGUCUAUGGUUUGUGAGCCAUCAGCAAAAUUAAGAAAUAGUGAAAUCCAGACAUAAGAUUUUCAGUUCACAGGUAAAGGGGCAAAAAUGAUUUUCAAACCACAUCCUGG